AUAGAAUUAUAAUCAAUAUAAACCUAUAACCUUCUAAUAGUAAUACGUGCUUCCUUUUAUGAGUCUAAGUUACUAAUAAAAUCAGAAAUUUCAUUUGUGAUCUAGUACAACAGAAACUAACUUACUUCACUUUCCGUCGUCUCUCAUAUACUGUGGUCACUUCUAGAGCUAAAUACACAUUGCUCCAGUCUCACUCUCUCUGAACGCAAGGGAAGAGCGCUUUUAUUAGUUCAAAACCGGUCGGGCCUCGGUCCGUCACCCCACCGUGUUGAAUCUGAAUAACUUGUCGCUGAGCGCACGGUCUCCGCACCGGCGCCGCCUCUUUCAAGUGUCUCUGCCUUAUCAGCUUUCGAUUGUAGGUUAUGCGCCUACAAUGGCUAUAACGGGUAACGGGAAUCAGGGUUCGAUUCCGGAGAGGGAGCCUGAGAAACGGCUACCACAUCUAAGGAAGGCAGCAGGCACGCAAAUUACCCACUCCCGGCACGGGGAGGUAGUGACGAAAAAUAACGAUGCGAGACUCAUCCGAGGCCUCGCAAUCGGAAUGAGUACACUUUAAAUCCUUUAACGAGGAUCUAUUGGAGGGCAAGUCUGGUGCCAGCAGCCGCGGUAAUUCCAGCUCCAAUAGCGUAUAUUAAAGUUGUUGCGGUUAAAAAGCUCGUAGUUGGAUUUCAGUUCUGGACUGACGGUUCACCGCCCGGUGCAUACUGUCACGCUCCGAACAGCCACAACAGCCCGCUGGCUCGCACGGGGUGCUCUUCAUCGAGUGUCCCGCGUGGCCGGCAGAGUUUACUUUUGAAAAAAUUAGAGUGCUCAAAGCAGGCUACACUUACGGCCUGAAUGCCUAUGCAUGGAAUAAUGGAAUAGGACCUCGGUUCUAUUUUGUCGGUUUUCUGAACCCGAGGUAAUGACUAAUAGGAACAGGCGGGGCAUUCGUAUUGCGACGCUAGAGGUGAAAUUCUUGGACCGUCGCAAGACGAACUACUGCGAAAGCAUUUGCCAAGGAUGUUUUCAUUAAUCAAGAACGAAAGUUAGAGGUUCGAAGGCGAUCAGAUACCGCCCUAGUUCUAACCAUAAACGAUGCUGACCAGCGAUCCGCCGGCGUUAUUCCCAUGACCCGGCGGGCAGCUUCCGGGAAACCAAAGUCUUUGGGUUCCGGGGGAAGUAUGGUUGCAAAGCUGAAACUUAAAGGAAUUGACGGAAGGGCACCACCAGGAGUGGAGCCUGCGGCUUAAUUUGACUCAACACGGGGAACCUCACCAGGCCCAGACACCGGAAGGAUUGACAGAUUGAGAGCUCUUUCUCGAUUCGGUGGGUGGUGGUGCAUGGCCGUUCUUAGUUGGUGGAGCGAUUUGUCUGGUUAAUUCCGAUAACGAACGAGACUCUGGCCUACUAACUAGUCGACGGAUCUCCAGCAAUUGGUGUCCAGUUCGCAGCUUCUUCUUAGAGGGAUAAGCGGCAACUUUAGCCGCACGAGAUUGAGCAAUAACAGGUCUGUGAUGCCCUUAGAUGUUCUGGGCCGCACGCGCGCUACACUGAAGGGAUCAACGUGUCCUCCCCCUCCGAGAGGAGCGGGUAACCCGUUGAAAUCCUUUCAUGAUAGGGAUUGGGGUUUGCAAUUGUCUCCCAUGAACGAGGAAUUCCCAGUAAGCGCAAGUCAUGAGCUUGCGUUGAUUACGUCCCUGCCCUUUGUACACACCGCCCGUCGCUACUACCGAUUGAAUGAUUUAGUGAGGCCUUCGGACUGGCGCUCUUGGAUGCCGGGCCCACGCGGUUCCGCCGCUGGGCUUUCGGCGCCUCGAGCUGACGGAAAGAUGUCCAAACUUGAUCAUUUAGAGGAAGUAAGUCGUAACAAGGUUUCCGUAGGUGAACCUGCGGAAG
rnacentral:rRNA from 1 species